rnacentral:rRNA from 1 species
GCCUAACACAUGCAAGUCGAACGGGACUUAAUGGAAUGCGGCUUCGGCCAAAGGAAAUUAAGUUUAGUGGCGAACGGGUGAGUAACGCGUGAGAAACCUGCCUCUCAGUGGGGGACAACAGUUGGAAACGACUGCUAAUACCGCAUAACAUUACCGGAGGGCAUCCUCUGGUAAUCAAAGCUUUAUGUGCUGAGAGAUGGUCUCGCGUCUGAUUAGCUAGAUGGCGGGGUAACGGCCCACCAUGGCGACGAUCAGUAGCCGGUCUGAGAGGAUGAACGGCCACAUUGGGACUGAGAUACGGCCCAGACUCCUACGGGAGGCAGCAGUGGGGAAUAUUGGGCAAUGGGGGAAACCCUGACCCAGCAACGCCGCGUGAAGGAAGAAGGCUUUCGGGUUGUAAACUUCUUUUACCAGGGACGAAGGACGUUACUCGCAGAAUAAGCACCGGCUAACUCUGUGCCAGCCGCCGCGGUAAGAC